UGUGAGUGCAGUUAACGCACGUUCCGCUUAAAGCCACGUCAUUCGUGAACUGUGCCAAGUUCAUCCAGUACCGUUGGAGCCUCAUCGUAGGUCUGGAAGCAGAGAAGAAGAUAAAUUUCUUUCUUUUACGUGGUUAAAACCUUCCGCCCAGUCCAUACACAGCUGCUAGAUACAACUGAAUUGUCCGACGCAAAAAAUAUAAUAUUAUUAUUAUGGAAAACGGGAAGGAAAAAAUGGAAAAUUGUAACAGGAUGUCAGAAUGAAGGGCUUGAAGAAAUGUAGAUACGAAAUAAUGAACGGUAAAAGUCAGGGCCGUUUUGCUCCAUGUUUUCACCAUGUCUUUAUAUCUCUUGUACACAUGACGUGAAAAGGAUUGCUUCCGUCAUCUCGCUUGCAUAAUUUUGAGAAACUCGAGUAAGGGCCAGUCGGGCGAGACCUGUGCAGGCGACUCGGGACAUCAAGGGAAAAGGGCGUGUUGGGAGACGUGGUAUUGUGAACUUUCCUAUUCCCGAUUACGGUGACGUUAAGCCCAAAGUU